GAUGAACGCUGACAGAAUGCUUAACACAUCAGCAAUUGAUUGGUGGCGGACGGGUGAGUAACGCGUAGAGAACUUACCUCCCAGUUAGGGACAACAUUUGGAACCGAAUGCUAAUACCUAAUACUGUGAGAGGGGUUUGCGUCCCAUUAGCUAGUUGGGGAGGUAACGGCUCACCAAGGCGAUGAUGGGUAGCCGGCCUGAGAGGGUGAUCGGGCACAAGGGGACUGGGACAGCGCCCGUACGCCUACGGGAGGCAGCAGUGGGGAAUAGUGGACAAUGGACCAAAGUCUGAUCCAGCAAUUCUGUGUGCACGAUGAAGUUUUCGGAAUGUAAAGUGCUUUCAGUUGGGAAGCGGUACCAACAGAAGAAGUGACGGCUAAAUACGUGCCAGCAGCCGCGGUAAUUC
rnacentral:rRNA from 1 species